AGUCGAGGGGCAGCAUGACGAUAGCUUGCUAUUGUCGAUGGCGACCGGCGCACGGGUGAGUAACGCGUAUCCAACCUUCCCUUAACUCCGGAAUAGCCCGCUGAAAGGCGGAUUAAUGCCGGAUGCGGUCCAGCGAGGGCAUCUGACCCGGACCAAAGGUUUCUUCCGGUUAAGGAUGGGGAUGCGUCUGAUUAGGUUGUUGGCGGGGUAACGGCCCACCAAGCCAUCGAUCAGUAGGGGUUCUGAGAGGAAGGUCCCCCACAUUGGAACUGAGACACGGUCCAAACUCCUACGGGAGGCAGCAGUGAGGAAUAUUGGUCAAUGGGCGAGAGCCUGAACCAGCCAAGUAGCGUGGAGGAUGACGGCCCUACGGGUUGUAAACUCCUUUUAUCAGGGGAUAAAGUCCACUACGUGUAGUGGUUUGCAGGUACCUGAUGAAUAAGGACCGGCUAAUUCCGUGCCAGCAGCCGCGGUAAUACGGAAGGUCCGGGCGUUAUCCGGAUUUAUUGGGUUUAAAGGGAGCGCAGACGGGCUGUUAAGCGUGACGUGAAAUCCGGGGGCUCAACCUUCGGCUGCGUCGCGAACUGGCGGCCUUGAGUGGACGGUAGGCAGGCGGAAUUCGUGGUGUAGCGGUGAAAUGCUUAGAUAUCACGAAGAACCCCGAUUGCGAAGGCAGCUUGCCGCAGUCUUACUGACGUUCAUGCUC
rnacentral:rRNA from 1 species